UCGAAAACUCAAAUAUAGUGGAGUAAGUGACAAGAUCGUAAUUCGGCU
rnacentral:misc_RNA from 1 species